CAACUAUCUCAGACCAUGAAGCCAUGGAAGGGACCUCUGCUGCAAAUUUUUCAAGUAUCCCUACUCUGUCCCGAAGGCUCUCAGAUAAGGUGGCGGGG